rnacentral:rRNA from 1 species
GAAAAAACUUAUGUUUUUUGCUGGCGAGCGGCGGACGGGUGAGUAAUGUAUGGGGAUCUGCCCAGAGGAGGGGGAUAACUAUUGGAAACGAUAGCUAAUACCGCAUAAAUUCUCUUUUGAGCAAAGCAUGGGAUAAGUUUUUAUUAAAACUUACCAUGUGCCUUUGGAUGAACUCAUAUGAGAUUAGCUAGUAGGUGAGGUAAAGGCUACACCUAGGCUACGAUCUCUAGCUGGUCUGAGAGGAUGACCAGCCACACUGGGACUGAGACACGGCCCAGACUCCUACGGGAGGCAGCAGUGGGGAAUAUUGCACAAUGGGCGAAAGCCUGAUGCAGCCAUGCCGCGUGUAUGAAGAAGGCCUUCGGGUUGUAAAGUACUUUCAGUCGGGAGGAAGGUAAUAGAGGCAAAUAGCUUUUUUUAUUUGACGUUACCGACAGAAGAAGCACCGGCUAACUCCGUGCCAGCAGCCGCGGUAAUACGGAGGGUGCGAGUGUUAAUCGGAAUUACUGGGCGUAAAGGGCACGCAGGCGGUUAAUUAAGUUGGAUGUGAAAUCCCUUGGCUCAACCUAGGAACUGCAUUCAAAACUGAAUAACUAGAGUCUCGUAGAGGGGGGUAGAAUUCCAUGUGUAGCGGUGAAAUGCGUAGAGAUAUGGAGGAAUACCAGUGGCGAAGGCGGCCCCCUGGGCGAAGACUGACGCUCAUGUGCGAAAGCAUGGGGAGCAAACAGGAUUAGAUACCCUGGUAGUCCAUGCCGUAAACAAUGUCAAUUUGGAGGUUGUAGUCUUAGAACUGUAGCUUCCGUAGCUAACGCGUUAAAUUGACCGCCUGGGGAGUACGACCGCAAGGUUAAAACUCAAAUGAAUUGACGGGGGCCCGCACAAGCGGUGGAGCAUGUGGUUUAAUUCGAUGCAACGCGAAGAACCUUACCUACUCUUGACAUCCAUAGAAGUUUAUUGAGAAAUAAACGUGCCUUAGGGAACUAUGAGACAGGU